CAAUAGCGUAUAUUAAAGUUGUUGCAGUUAAAAAGCUCGUAGUUGGAUUUCUGGUGGGAGCGAUCGGUCUGGCGCUUAGCGCGAGUACUUGCAUCGUCUCCGGCCAUCCUUGGGGAGAGUCUGUCUGGCAUUAGGUUGUCGGGCAGAGGAUCCUCAUCGUUUACUGUGAAAAAAUUAGAGUGUUCAAAGCAGGCUUAUGCCGUUGAAUAUAUUAGCAUGGAAUAAUAAGAUAGGACUUUGGUACUAUUUUGUUGGUUUGCGCACCAAAGUAAUGAUUAAUAGGGACAGUUGGGGGUAUUCGUAUUCCGUUGACAGAGGUGAAAUUCUUGGAUUUACGGAAGACGAACUACUGCGAAAGCAUUUACCAAGGAUGUUUUCAUUAA
rnacentral:rRNA from 1 species